AAGAACAUGACAUAUGGUUUGUGUUAUCAAGAAUAUGGCUAUCAGAGAGUCUUUGAUACAAAGAAUUUAUGUUGUGUUGUCGUUUUUAUUUGAAUGCCCACUUCACCCGUGAGUUAACAAAGUUAUAUUAAAACACUCUGAUGUUAUCAUCUUUUUUCUAGUAUCCAAAAAUAAACGUAGAAAACGAAAUUAAGAAUAUCAUCAAUGGGGAAAGUAGUUACCAAGGGGAAACCAAGACUGAGAAAGCCCUCACCGAAAGUUUCUCCGUUUCUUCCAUCCUGCCAAAAUGAAAGGUUUGAUUUGCUCCUCUUAGGUCCAGAGCAUGUGGUAGGAAAGAGAUGAAGUUGGACAAAACGAUGUCGUUUGGUUGUAGACAAGUGAAGAAUCAGCUCCUCUGUGCUCUGGAAUGGCUGGAAACAAUGAGAAUCAGGUCAGGGACAAGGGAUUCCCACUGAAUCUUGGAGGUGGAGAAAAGUGAUUCCCAUGCCCAUCAGCCGCCUAAAUUGGGCUUGUCUGACACAACGAUUGCAUGAAGAACACGAAAUCACCAUUUGAACCAGAAAAUUGUAGCUGCCUGGUAUUGGACUAUCAAAAUUUCUUUCUGGAAGAUAAAGCAUGCAGCACUUAAUGUUACCAAUAUGUCAAAGGGUCAAAGGAAGGCCAGACCAUUUAAUAGGCAAGAUGCCCAUGUUUCAUCUGGCUCCGUGAUAACUGCUUCUAUCAAUAUACCCUCCUCACUUAUCCAGAUAUCCAAAUCUCUGACCUCAAAACAUAAGGAAAGGGACAGAAGGGUGUUGAUUGAUCAGACAAACAACACAAAAAAAAAUGAUGAAGAAAGGGAAAAAAGGUUUUCUAGUUUCACACUUGUGUUUAAGUUUUAUGCAUCUAUAUUCCUAUCUAGUGACAGUGGGCAGCAUUGAAGUCAAGUCCUUGAAUGAGUAUGAUUUAUCUAACAAAUGGUGUAUUUUGAAAAGAAACGAAUAAAUUUGUUAAAAGGGAAUUGUUGACAGUAUUUCCACUAACUCCCUCCAAUUGUUCUCUUUGUGUUAGAUAUAUAAAGAGUCAUUUCAAU